UGGGGAAUCUUGCACAAUGGGCGAAAGCCUGAUGCAGCGACGCCGCGUGGAGGAUGACGGUCUUCGGAUUGUAAACUCCUGUUAAGUGGGAAGAAAGAUUCAUACCUAAUACGUAUGGAGGAUGACGGUACCACUAGAGAAAGCACCGGCAAACUUCGUGCCAGCAGCCGCGGUAAUACGAAGGGUGCGAGCGUUAUUCGGAAUAACUGGGCGUAAAGAGCGUGUCGGCGGUCUUUUAAGUCAACUGUAAAAGAGCUCGGCUUAACUGAGUAAAUGCGGGUGAUACUGGAAGACUAGAGUGCGGGAGAGAAAGGUAGAAUUCUCGGAGUAGCGGUAAAAUGCGUAGAUCUCGAGAGGAAUACCGGUUGCGAAGGCGGCCUUUUGGCCCGUAACUGACGCUUAAGCGCGAAAGCGUGGGGAGCAAACAGGAUUAGAUACCCUGGUAGUCCACGCCGUAAACGAUGAUCACUAGAUGUGGGGCGUGCAUAGCAUACUCCGUGUCGUAGCUAACGCGUUAAGUGAUCCGCCUGGGAAGUACGGUCGCAAGAUUA
rnacentral:rRNA from 1 species